GAGAAGGCGAUUACUUAAUUUAGAUUAAUUUUACUUCCCCCGUUUCUUGCGCGCGUCUCCUACACGGUCCAGUUGCUGGGAAGAUUCCCGGCGGGCACCGAUGGAACACUUUCCCUCCGAGUCCGUCCGGCUGUGUCCUUGAAAAUUGGCUACACUUCGUUCCUAUCUCCUCAUGGCUUCCGAUGUUUGAUCGUCGUCGCUACGGCUGAACUGCGGGGCAAAUAUUUCGGCGAGACGGCGACGAGGUCUCGUACAACUGAUAAGGGAAGGAAAAUACGUAGACGACGGGGCAACCUUCGGUCUGUUGGUAGUUAAAACUCAUAAGUCUUCGUCGUGACUUUACGGAGCCGCACGGGAAGGCUUCUCGGUCAAACGGCGCGCGCGAUAAAUCUUAAUUCGCACGUUGAAAGCGGCGUUUAGCGUUUCACCGGGUGAGAUAUGGGCUCCAGUCUUGUCUCCCACCUUGCGUGGAAAAGCGAAGAAAGUGGAAUGACCUACAGAAGGCCGUCGCAUUAAACAUAUUCGUACACAUAAUAAUGGCUGACACCGCGAACGCCGCCGCAACGAACAGCAAAAAUUUUCCGUAACCUAGAAAUCUUUUAAAAUUGUUAUCACUAGGCUGCACUAGAUUCUAUGCGUUUAGAACACAAAUGGUUAGGUCAAAUACAAAUACAAAAUGACAUUAGAAAAAUUUAAGGAUAUUGUUAUAUUAUUUUCGAUUCAUUACGAUUGUUACAAAAGAGGAAGGAUAUUUAAUUUAGUUUUCUUAGACUUAACUUGGAUAAUUUUUAUUUUUCAUAAAGAUCCGUAGUCUAGUUAUCACCGUCAAAAAAUUGAUAACACUUGUUAUCAUUUUAUGUUACAGUUCUCCGUUUACACUGUUGCAGUGAUAGUGUUUGCGUAGGCUCAAUAGUAUUUACGUUUGAUAAUAUUUGGGUACAUAUGACCUCUUUUAUCCAAACUAUUUCCUGCAGCCUCCCAAUGCUUGUACUGUUUUAUCUUAAACAUAGUGUAAAUAUUAUUAUUUGACUAUUUAGUUGACUAUUUAGACGAUUCGAAUUGGCAACGUACGAAUUGUAUACGUCUGUUAUUAAAAAAUUAGUAAAUAAAAUUACAAAUGAUCCGAAACAGUUGUGUUUUUGUCAAAAUUAUCGUGCGAUAAAAAGUACAUCGUCAAUCAUUAGUAGACUGCUGGAUUUUAUGAAUUUUGUGGCAAAAAUCAGCAACUGAAAUACAAAACAGUGAACAGAUUAAAACGAUUUAUAAAUAUCUUGUUACAUUAUUUUUAAUUUAUUGGAGGUAUUAACCACUCAGCUGUUGUAAUCUCUUCGAAAGGUCAUAAUAUGUUAUAACAUAUGUAGUAUUAAAUUGUAAUGAAAUGUCUGAAUUAUU